AAGUCGUAACAAGGUUUCCGUAGGUGAACCUGCGGAAGGAUCAUUAUCGAAAAUAAAGGGUUGUCUGCUGGCCUCUCGGGGCGCGUGCACGCCCAAAUCCACAACACACCUGUGAACCCACCGUAGGCCCUCGGGCUUAUGUAUUAUCAUAUACUCCCAGAUAUGACGAAUUGAAAAUGCUUUUGCAUUUAAAAACCAGCCAUGAAAUACAA
rnacentral:misc_RNA from 1 species